rnacentral:rRNA from 1 species
UGGGGAAUAUUGCGCAAUGGGCGAAAGCCUGACGCAGCGACGCCGCGUGGGUGAUGAAGGCCUUCGGGUCGUAAAGCCCUGUCGGGAGGGAAGAAACAGUCUGGACCUAAUACGUCCGGGAAUUGACGGUACCUCCUAAGGAAGCACCGGCUAACUCCGUGCCAGCAGCCGCGGUAAUACGGAGGGUGCUAGCGUUGUUCGGAAUCACUGGGCGUAAAGGGCGUGUAGGCGGCUCGGUAAGUGGAAUGUGAAAUGCCCCGGCUCACCCGGGGACCUGCAUCCCAAACUGCCGGGCUUGAGUAUGGGAGAGGAUGAGGGAAUUCCUGGUGUAGCGGUGAAAUGCGUAGAUAUCAGGAGGAACACCGGUGGCGAAGGCGCUCAUCUGGCCCAAUACUGACGCUGAGGCGCGAAAGCUAGGGGAGCAAACGGGAUUAGAUACCCCCGUAGUCCCUGAGCGGGCUGGCAAGGCGCAU